rnacentral:rRNA from 1 species
UACAGAGGUCCCAAGCGUUGUUCGGAUUCAUUGGGCGUAAAGGGUGCGUAGGCGGCGCGGUAAGUCGGGUGUGAAAUCUCGGAGCUUAACUCCGAAACUGCAUUCGAUACUGCCGUGCUUGAGGACUGGAGAGGUGAGUGGAAUUCCUAGUGUAGAGGUGAAAUUCGUAGAUAUUAGGAAGAACACCAGUGGCGAAGGCGGCUCACUGGCUCGGUACUGACGCUGAGGCGCGAAAGCGUGGGGAGCAAACAGG